rnacentral:rRNA from 1 species
UUAAGCGACUAAGCGUACACGGUGGAUGCCCUGGCAGUCAGAGGCGAUGAAGGACGUGCUAAUCUGCGAAAAGCGUCGGUAAGGUGAUAUGAACCGUUAUAACCGGCGAUGUCCGAAUGGGGAAACCCAGUGCAAUUCGUUGCACUAUCGUUAACUGAAUACAUAGGUUAACGAGGCGAACCGGGGGAACUGAAACAUCUAAGUACCCCGAGGAAAAGAAAUCAACCGAGAUUCCCCCAGUAGCGGCGAGCGAACGGGGAGCAGCCCAGAGUCUGAAUCAGCUUGUGUGUUAGUGGAACGGUCUGGAAAGUCCGACGGUACAGGGUGAUAGUCCCGUACACCAAAAUGCACAGGUUGUGAACUCGAAGAGUAGGGCGGGACACGUGGUAUCCUGUCUGAAUAUGGGGGGACCAUCCUCCAAGGCUAAAUACUCCUGACUGACCGAUAGUGAACCAGUACCGUGAGGGAAAGGCGAAAAGAACCCCGGCGAGGGGAGUGAAAAAGAACCUGAAACCGUGUACGUACAAGCAGUGGGAGCACCUUCGGGUGUGACUGCGUACCUUUUGUAUAAUGGGUCAGCGACUUAUAUUCUGUAGCAAGGUUAACCGUAUAGGGGAGCCGCAGGGAAACCGAGUCUUAACUGGGCGUUAAGUUGCAGGGUAUAGACCCGAAACCCGGUGAUCUAGCCAUGGGCAGGUUGAAGGUUGGGUAACACUAACUGGAGGACCGAACCGACUAAUGUUGAAAAAUUAGCGGAUGACUUGUGGCUGGGGGGUGAAAGGCCAAUCAAACCGGGAGAUAGCUGGUUCUCCCCGAAAGCUAUUUAGGUAGCGCCUCGUGAAUUCAUCUUCGGGGGUAGAGCACUGUUUCGGCUAGGGGGUCAUCCCGACUUACCAACCCGAUGCAAACUACGAAUACCGAAGAAUGUUAUCACGGGAGACACACGGCGGGUGCUAACGUCCGUCGUGAAGAGGGAAACAACCCAGACCGCCAGCUAAGGUCCCAAAGUCAUGGUUAAGUGGGAAACGAUGUGGGAAGGCACAGACAGCCAGGAUGUUGGCUUAGAAGCAGCCAUCAUUUAAAGAAAGCGUAAUAGCUCACUGGUCGAGUCGGCCUGCGCGGAAGAUGUAACGGGGCUAAACCAUGCACCGAAGCUGCGGCAGCGACACUAUGUGUUGUUGGGUAGGGGAGCGUUCUGUAAGCCUGCGAAGGUGACCUGUGAGGGUUGCUGGGAGGUAUCAGAAGUGCGAAUGCUGACAUAAGUAACGAUAAAGCGGGUGAAAAGCCCGCUCGCCGGAAGACCAAGGGUUCCUGUCCAACGUUAAUCGGGGCAGGGUGAGUCGACCCCUAAGGCGAGGCCGAAAGGCGUAGUCGAUGGGAAACAGGUUAAUAUUCCUGUACUUGGUGUUACUGCGAAGGGGGGACGGAGAAGGCUAUGUUAGCCGGGCGACGGUUGUCCCGGUUUAAGCAUGUAGGCUGGUUGUCCAGGCAAAUCCGGAUAAUCAAGGCUGAGGUGUGAUGACGAGGCACUACGGUGCUGAAGUAACAAAUGCCCUGCUUCCAGGAAAAGCCUCUAAGCAUCAGGUAACAUUAAAUCGUACCCCAAACCGACACAGGUGGUCAGGUAGAGAAUACCAAGGCGCUUGAGAGAACUCGGGUGAAGGAACUAGGCAAAAUGGUGCCGUAACUUCGGGAGAAGGCACGCUGGUGUGUAGGUGAAGUCCCUGCGGAUGGAGCUGAGACCAGUCGAAGAUACCAGCUGGCUGCAACUGUUUAUUAAAAACACAGCACUGUGCAAACACGAAAGUGGACGUAUACGGUGUGACGCCUGCCCGGUGCCGGAAGGUUAAUUGAUGGGGUUAUCCGUAAGGAGAAGCUCUUGAUCGAAGCCCCGGUAAACGGCGGCCGUAACUAUAACGGUCCUAAGGUAGCGAAAUUCCUUGUCGGGUAAGUUCCGACCUGCACGAAUGGCGUAAUGAUGGCCAGGCUGUCUCCACCCGAGACUCAGUGAAAUUGAACUCGCUGUGAAGAUGCAGUGUACCCGCGGCAAGACGGAAAGACCCCGUGAACCUUUACUAUAGCUUGACACUGAACAUUGAGCCUUGAUGUGUAGGAUAGGUGGGAGGCUUUGAAGCGUGGACGCCAGUCUGCGUGGAGCCAACCUUGAAAUACCACCCUUUAAUGUUUGAUGUUCUAACGUUGGCCCCUUACCGGGGUUGCGGACAGUGUCUGGUGGGUAGUUUGACUGGGGCGGUCUCCUCCCAAAGCGUAACGGAGGAGCACGAAGGUUAGCUAAUCCUGGUCGGACAUCAGGAGGUUAGUGCAAUGGCAUAAGCUAGCUUGACUGCGAGCGUGACGGCGCGAGCAGGUGCGAAAGCAGGUCAUAGUGAUCCGGUGGUUCUGAAUGGAAGGGCCAUCGCUCAACGGAUAAAAGGUACUCCGGGGAUAACAGGCUGAUACCGCCCAAGAGUUCAUAUCGACGGCGGUGUUUGGCACCUCGAUGUCGGCUCAUCACAUCCUGGGGCUGAAGUAGGUCCCAAGGGUAUGGCUGUUCGCCAUUUAAAGUGGUACGCGAGCUGGGUUUAGAACGUCGUGAGACAGUUCGGUCCCUAUCUGCCGUGGGCGCUGGAGAAUUGAGGGGGGCUGCUCCUAGUACGAGAGGACCGGAGUGGACGCAUCACUGGUGUUCGGGUUGUCAUGCCAAUGGCACUGCCCGGUAGCUAAAUGCGGAAGAGAUAAGUGCUGAAAGCAUCUAAGCACGAAACUUGCCCCGAGAUGAGUUCUCCCUGAGACUUUAAGUCUCCUGAAGGAACGUUAAAGACGAUGACGUUGAUAGGCCGGGUGUGUAAGCGCAGCGAUGCGUUGAGCUAACCGGUACUAAUGAACCGUGAGGCUUAACCUU